CGGAAAGUUUUUUAGUUUAAUCUGUGCCUUUUCUUUUUUCCGGUUAUAUCAACGUCUUCGUCUUUUCCCUGAUUUCUUUCUCUACACAAUAGAAGAGUUCAAUCUUCGUCUUUUCGUUGAUUUUUUUUUCUUCACAACAGAAGAACUCGUCAAUGGCAACCAUAUCCUCUAGGCACUCGGUUGAAGUUUUCGGAGCCAUCUUCUUCCGUUGUUCGUAAUCUUUCCUUCUCCUCGUGCGUACUCUUUGAGAUUAAGAGGAACAAGAAGGAGGAUCUCAGUUGGAAUGAGAGAUUGUGUUAUUUACCAUCAAGUCCAUCAUUUGGAUUGGAAUUGCAUCAUUGGUUUGUUUGGAUUUGGUGCAGAGCAUUGCGAAUUCUAUAUUGUUCAAGAAUUACAAUUUCGAGAGGGAAAAGAAACGCACGGUUUAAGAUACCUAUCAUAGCAAGGAUUCUGCUUUUGAUCACUUGAGGUUAGAAAUGCAACUUAGACGUGGUGAUGUUGAGCAAUGGAUGAGUCAUAGGCGCUUACCAGAAUACCUCAGAAGGUCUUCUGAUGAUGGAACUUGUAGAAUACGGGAUGCGAGGAACUCACACAAUCCCCGAAUAUAUGUGCCUCGACCUCCAGAUGCUAUAAAUGGUUAUUAUUGAUUGAGAAAUGGUCCAUUAGCUAGUUUACCAUCCUCAAGCAAUGGUCAACAAAUAUCAAGUACUUUGUUGUACAUAUAAUGCAAAUGGAACUAUUUUUGUUACCGGUAGCUUUGAUACUUUUGCUAGGGUGUGGAGUGCAUUGAAGCCCAACACUGAUGAUGCAAAACAACCAAUAAAUGAGAUGGAUUUAUUAUGUGGUUACGAAAAUGAUGUUAAUUAUGUACAGUUUAGGUUAGACAUCCCGGUUAGGUCUACACUUGUUUGUUUUGCUUUGUAAAGAUCCUUAUUAUCUUUUGCUAUUCUGUAUGCGGUUGUUGCUCUGUGGCUUAAAACAAUUUUAACAUCUAACCCCUUGAAAGAAGAAAAUACACUAAAGUUUCGAAAAUUCUGGUAUAUCUAGCGCUUGUUAUAA